CCGUUGCAAGCACCAAUCUACUUUCUGUCUCUAUGAAUUUGGCUUCUCUAGGUACCUCAUACAAGUUGAAUCACAUAGUAUUUGUCCUUUUGUGACUGGCUUAUUUCCCUUAGCAUAAUGUCCUCAAGGUUUAUCCAUGUUGUCACCUGUGUCCGAAUUUCCUUUCUUUUUAAGGCUGAAUAAUUUUCCUCUGUAUGUAUACAUCAUAUUUUGUUUAUAGCCAUUCAUCCAUUGGUAGGCUCUUGGGUUGUUGGCUAUUAUGAAUAAUUCUGCUGUGAGACGGGUAUACAAAUAUCUAUUUGAAUCCUUGUUUUAAAUUCUUUUGGUCAUAUACCCAGAAGCGGAAUUGCUGAACCAUACGAUAACACUAUUUUAAUUUUUUUGAGGACCUUCCAUACUGUUUUCCACAUUGGUUAUACCAUUUUACAUUCCCACCAGCAAUGCACAAGAGUUCCAAUUUUCCCACGUUCUAACACUUAUUUCCUGUUUUGUUUUGUUUAUAGUAACCAUCCUAAUAUGUAAAGUGGUAUCUCAUUGUGGUUUUGAUUUGAAUUUCCCUAACGAUCACUGAUGUUGAGUAUCUUUUUAUAUGCUUACUGGCCACCUGUAUAUAUUCUUUAGAGAAAUGAGUAAUUUUCUUUAAUGGAAAAGUCCUUUGCCCAUUUUUAAAUUGGGCUGUGUUUCUUUCGUUGUUGUUGUGUAGUUGUAGGAGUUCCAUAUAUAUUCUGAAUAUUAAUCCUUAUCAGCUAUACGGCAUGCAAAUAUUUUCUCUCAUUCCAGGGGUUGCCUUUUCAUUCUGUUGAUAAUGUCCUUUGAUGCACAAAGGUUUUUCAUAACCCCUGUAUGUUAUAGAUGUGCACGCCCAUUCCCCCAGGGUGGGCUUCCCUGAAGACUGGUGUACAGUAGUCCCUCUUUAUUGGUACUUUUAUUUUCUGCAGUUUUAGUUAUCUAUGGUAAACUGUAGUCCAAAAAUAUGAAAUAGAAAAGUCCAGAAAAAAAAUCAUAAGUUUUAAAGUGUGUGAUGUUCUGAGUACACUGUACACUCUCAAGCUGUCCUGCUCUGUCCCACCCAGGAUGUGAAUCAUCCCUUUGUCCCAUGUACCCACACUGUACACGUUCCCCAUCUGUUAGUCACUUUGUAGCCAUCUUGACUAUCAGAUCGUCACAGUAUCAUAGUGCUUGUGUUUGAGUAAUCCUUAUUUUACUUAAUAAUGGUCCCAAUGUGCAAGAGUAAUGAUGCUGGCAAUUCCGAUAUGCCAAAGAGAAGCUACAGAGGGCUUCACUUAAAAGGUGAAAGUUCUUGACUUAACAAGGAAAGAACAAAAAUUGUAUGCUGAAACUAACAAAAUUUAUAAGAACAAAUCUUUUACCCAUGAAAUUGUAAAGAAAGAAAAAUACAUUUGUGCUGGUUUUGCUAUUGCACCUCAAACUAUAAACGUCAUGGUUACAGAGUGUGAUAAGUGCUUAGUUAAGAUGAAAAAGGCAUUCAGUUUGUGGGCAGGAGACAUUAACAGAAAUGUGUUUAGUAUUGGCAACGUGUUGCACCAGAAAGCAUUGAGCCUAUAUGAAGACAAGCAUUGAUCCCUCCAGCAACGGAUCCCCUGAAAUCAGUGACACUAAGCCAUUUAUUGCAAGUACGGGAUACUUACACAGAUUCAGGAAUAGGUUUGGACCGAAAAAUAUAUAAAUUACUAGAGAGGCUGUGUCUGCUAAUGAACAGAAAUAUAGAACAAUGGGCUAUUUUGAAAGAGAGAGCGAGAGAGACCACAUGCAUAUGAUUUUACUGUAUUAUGUUAUUAUACUUGUUCUAUUUUAUUAUUAGUUAUUAUUGUUAAUCCGUUAACUGCACCUCAUCUAUUUGUAAAAAAUUUAUCAGAGGUAUGUAUGUAAAGAAAGAAGCAGCAUAUAUAUAGGGUCUGGUACUAUCUGCAGCUUCGGGCAUCCACUGAGAGUCUUGGAAUGUAUUCCACGCAGAUAAGGGGGACUGCUGUAUAGAGGGGAGUUGGGUGUGCUCUUGGUAUUGUUCCCAGACCAAACUGAGGGUCGGGCUGCUAUUUCUCGUGGACCAAUAAUGAGAUGCAGAUGAACUGGGGAGGAAGAGAGUUUUUAUUUCUGUAACCGGUUACAGGGAGAAGCCCUGGAAAUUAUCGCCAGACCAACUCAAAAUUACAAAGUUUUCCAGAGCUUAUACACCUUCUAAGCUAUAUGUCUAUGUGUAACUGAAUGCAUUCAUCUAAAGAUAUAAGUGAUUAACUUCUUUUAUAUAACUAAGGUCUGAGUCCUGAAGGAGAAAGUGUACUCAAUCUAAAUGGGUCUAAGUACUGGGGUGACUACCCUUAUCUUGUCUCCUGCUAAAUUAUGGAGGUUUGGAGAGUUCCUUUAGACCCCAAUAAACAUGUUUGUGGAGGCCCGGGUAGUUUCUUCAGACCCCCAAUAAAACUUGUUUAAUCCUAAAAGGGUCCUGAUAAGAAUUCCUUCGUUAUCUUGUCAUGCUUUGAGGCCCAGGAAAAGCCUAGGCAAAACUCUUGGUGGGCUCUUUGUUACAUUUCAGCCUUUGUAUAAGGGCACUGGCUCAAUCAGCUUUUAAUGUUUAACCUAGCUACUCAGCCAGUGCUGGGACAGAUGUAACAAAGGCCUGCAUUUGCUAGACCUAGCCUGCCACAAUCCCCACUGUCAAUUUGUGCAUGAUCUCUAUCAUGCUUGUAUAUUUAUUUAUCACAAGAAUCAUAGGGAUAUGGGGCAUCAUAAUCUUUCUGGCUACUUGCUGCUGAGAGAGGGUCGUCAUUAUGGGGCACUGAAUCAGCAUUGGAGUGGAAGAGGUCAAUUUGUUCCCAGUUGCCCUCUCCAUUUCGGUUGCUUAGAAUAGUAUGCAACAUUUUUCCUCUAUUCUGAUAUCGCGAUCUCCAAAGUUAUCAGAAAUCUGCAUUAAAAAGCACCUGUUAGAGCUUUAUGGCUGAUUAUAAAACCACCUUCUAAAGAGGACCUAAACAAGACAACAGUUGUUUAUGGAUGACAAAAAGUUUUAGGACAGGCCGGGUGUGGUGGCACACACCUGUAGUCCC